rfam:Schistosoma mansoni, Puerto Rico, WGS project CABG01000000 data, contig: 0160
AUCCAGCUGAUGAGUCCCAAAUAGGACGAAACGCGCGUCCUCGAU